AUGACGAGCAGUCGAGGAUCUACUUUCACUUGCUGAUGAAAAUGGUGAUUCGAACGUGAGUGUGGAAGAGUUCUCGAGGAGCAUCCAUGACUUCAUGGCCAUAGAUUCAGACCCACUGUUGCAAAAACAACUUGCAGAAGAGUUUGCUGAUGCAUUUGAGGAUGAUGCGGAAUAAAGCGCCCGAUCAACAUCUUUAUGAAAUGAUUUCAAUAAAAAGAUUCUUGCAAACGUAAA